CACGAACGCUGGCGGCAGGCCUAACACAUGCAAGUCGAGCGAACCGCAAGGUUAGCGGCGGACGGGUUAGUAACGCGUGGGAACGUGCCCAAAGGUGCGGAAUAGCCUCGGGAAACUGAGAGUAAUACCGUAUGUGCCCGAAAGGGGAAAGAUUUAUCGCCUUUGGAUCGGCCCGCGUUGGAUUAGGUAGUUGGUGGGGUAAUGGCCUACCAAGCCGACGAUCCAUAGCUGGUCUGAGAGGAUGAUCAGCAACACUGGGACUGAGACACGGCCCAGACUCCUACGGGAGGCAGCAGUGGGGAAUCUCAGACAAUGGGGGAAACCCUGAUCUAGCCAUGCCGCGUGAGCGAUGAAGGCCUUAGGGUUGUAAAGCUCUUUCACCGGGGAAGAUAAUGACGGUACCCGGAGAAGAAGCCCCGGCUAACUCCGUGCCAGCCGCCGCGGUAACAC
rnacentral:rRNA from 1 species